CACAUCCAAUCGACAUCGAGAGUAACUCCAGAGGACAGAGUGCGAUGUUGUAUUAAGUCAAUAAAGACUCUGGGUUCGAGACUGCAAAACAAAUAUUCAAUUCCAGGUGCAAUAUCUAUAGAUCCUCCCGUGUCAGAGCACUAAUUCCUCAAAACCUCCUGGUUCCCAAGAACAAAUAUACAGAUCCAACAGAAUCAGAACAUGAAGCCCUUAAGAGCCUUAGAUUCCAGAGAAGAAUCAUUAGGGACUACAAGUUCCUACACGAUGUACAUCGAUACCUCAGGGUAGUAUGACAAAUAAUCGGCCUCCACACCUCAA
rnacentral:lncRNA from 1 species